AUUGAUAUUUUUAUGAUCCAUAAAGUUUAUAAUUAGAAAAAAGUUUUAUUCUUACUUGAAAUCUUAUUGUUAAAAUAAUUUAUAUGUAAAUUUGUGUGAGGAGUUGAGUGUAUCUAAAGGAUCAUUUUUUUAGUUAAUCGCAGUAUUUAGUUUUAUAUAUCAAGGUGAUUUGGAAUUAGUAAUUUAAUAUAUGAUUGGUUAAAGUCGUGCCAGCUACCGCGGUUAUACGGAGAAUAGGAAUAAGAUUUAUUAGUUGAAAGUUAAUAUAUUAAAUUAAAAGAAUUGAAUAAUUUUAUAGGUAGAAUUUAAAAUUAUUUUGAUUUAUAAUUGUGAUAUGAAGCUUUGAAAGUUAAUAAAUAAACUAGGAUUAGAUACCCUAUUAUUUUAACUGUAAAUAUAAGACUUGGGUAGUAUUAGUUAAGGUCUUGAAACUCAAAGAAUUUGGCGGUGUUUUAGUCUUUUCAGAGGAAUCUGUCCUGUAAUUGAUAAUACACAUUAAAUAUUACCUAAUUUUGUAAAAACAGUUUGUAUACCGCCGUCAUAAGAAUAUCUUUUUAGAGAGUUAAUGUUCUAGUUAUUAAUAAAAUAAUAUGUCAGGUCAAGGUGCAGUUUAUAAUUAGGAAGAGAUGGAUUACAAUAAAAUUAUUUAUAAUGGAUUUUAUAAUGAAAUUUAUAAAUGAAGGUGGAUUUGAUAGUAAUAUUAUUAAAUUAUGAUAAUAUGAUUUAAGCGCUGAAACAUGUACACAUCGCCCGUCACUCUCGUUAUAAGAUGAGAUAAGUCGUAACAUAGUAGAUGUACUGGAAGGUGUAUCUAGGAAGU
rnacentral:ncRNA from 1 species